GAUGAACGCUGGCGGCGUGCCUAAUACAUGCAAGUCGAGCGAACGGACGAGAAGCUUGCUUCUCUGAUGUUAGCGGCGGACGGGUGAGUAACACGUGGAUAACCUACCUAUAAGACUGGGAUAACUUCGGGAAACCGGAGCUAAUACCGGAUAAUAUUUUGAACCGCAUGGUUCAAAAGUGAAAGACGGUCUUGCUGUCACUUAUAGAUGGAUCCGCGCUGCAUUAGCUAGUUGGUAAGGUAACGGCUUACCAAGGCAACGAUGCAUAGCCGACCUGAGAGGGUGGUCGGCCACACUGGAACUGAGACACGGUCCAGACUCCUACGGGAGGCAGCAGUAGGGAAUCUUUCGCAAUGGGCGAAAGCCUGACGGAGCAACGCCGCGUGAGUGAUGAAGGUCUUCGGAGCGUAAAACUCUGUUAUUAGGGAAGAACAUAUGUGUAAGUAACUGUGCACAUCUUGACGGUACCUAAUCAGAAAGCCACGGCUAACUACGUG
rnacentral:rRNA from 1 species